rnacentral:rRNA from 1 species
CGAGCGCAACCCUUGCCUUUAGUUGUCCACGCAGUUCGGGCUGGGCACUCUAAAGGGACUGCCGGUGUUAAACCGGAGGAAGGUGGGGAUGACGUCAAGUCCUCAUGGCCUUUAUGACCAGGGCUACACACGUACUACAAUGGCCGAUACAAAGGGCAGCGACACUGCGAGGUGAAGCCAAUCCCGUAAAAUCGGUCUCAGUCCGGAUUGGAGUCUGCAACUCGACUCCAUGAAGUUGGAAUCGCUAGUAAUCGUGGAUCAGCAUGCCACGGUGAAUACGUUCCCGGGCCUU